AGCGUGCGCAGGCGGUUAUGUAAGACAGAUGUGAAACUCCCCCGGGCUCAACCUGGGAACUGCAUUUGUGACUGCAUGGCUAGAGUACGGUAGGAGGGGGAUGGAAUUCCGCGUGUAGCAGUGAAAUGCGUAGAUAUGCGGAGGAACACCGAUGGCGAAGGCAAUCCCCUGGACCUGUACUGACGCUCAUGCACGAAAGCGUGGGGAGCAAACAGGAUUAGAUACCCUGU
rnacentral:rRNA from 1 species